CCUCACGCACAUUGGUUUUUAAAAACAUGGAGAAAAAUACUUCCAUUUUCUCUCCGUUUGGUUUUCUUUCCGUGGUGGUUUUGAUCGCUAUGGCUAACUAUUAUGGAGGAAUUGUAGCCGAAGGCAGACAAGUAUGUGAUGGCAACAUUUUGGGACGAAUAAUUGUUCGUGGCGAAUGUAGGAACUGUGUUGCUCCCUGCAGAGACCGCUUCAACAACGUUGUUAGGAUUCAAUGUGCCCCUCUUCCGUUCAAUCAAAUCGAGUGCUUCUGUUGUGGUCCUGUGACGAUUCAUGAAUCACUAGAAACGUCUUAAGUUAGACCAAAUGCGAUUUAUCAAGCCAAGAUCUUAAACUUGUAAAUUUGUAUUUUAUAAAAUAAGAACGAUUGUGGAAAUCGUUAAUCGAAUCCAUCUAUGUGAUUCCUCUGUUAUCGUUUAUCAAGGAUAUAAUAAAAACUAAGUUUCUUCGGUUUGAUGAAAA